GACGAACGCUGGCGGCGUGCUUAACACAUGCAAGUCGAACGGAAAGGCCCUGCUUUUGUGGGGUGCUCGAGUGGCGAACGGGUGAGUAACAAGUGAGUAACCUGCCCUUGCCUUUGGGAUAACUUCAGGCAACUGGGGAUACUACCGGAUAGGAGCUCCUGCUGCAUGGUGGGGGUUGGAAAGUUUCGGCGGUUGGGGAUGGACUCGCGGCUUAUCAGCUUGUUGGUGGGGUAGUGGCUUACCAAGGCGUUGACGGGUCGCCGGCCUGAGAGGGUGACCGGCCACAUUGGGACUGAGAGACGGCCCAGACUCCUACGGGAGGCAGCAGUGGGGAAUAUUGCACAAUGGGCGGAAGCCUGAGGCAGCAACGCCGCGUGCGGGAUGACGGCCUUCGGGUUUUAAACCGCUUUCGCCUGUGACGAAGCGUGAGUGACGGUAAUGGGUAAAGAAGCACCGGCUAACUACGUG
rnacentral:rRNA from 1 species